UGGCGACCGGCGCACGGGUGAGUAACACGUAUCCAACCUGCCGAUGACUCGGGGAUAGCCUUUCGAAAGAAAGAUUAAUACCCGAUAGCAUAAUGAUUCCGCAUGGUUUCAUUAUUAAAGGAUUCCGGUAAAGGAUGGGGAUGCGUUCCAUUAGGUUGUUGGUGAGGUAACGGCUCACCAAGCCUUCGAUGGAUAGGGGUUCUGAGAGGAAGGUCCCCCACAUUGGAACUGAGACACGGUCCAA
rnacentral:rRNA from 1 species